rnacentral:rRNA from 1 species
GUGCCAGCAGCCGCGGUAAAACGUAGGACGCGAGCGUUAUCCGGAUUUACUGGGCGUAAAGCGCGGGCAGGCGGUGGUCCAAGUCGGACGUGAAAGCUCCCGGCUCAACUGGGAGAGGUCGUUCGAAACUGGGCCGCUAGAGGGCAGUAGAGGGGCGUGGAAUUCCGGGUGGAGUGGUGAAAUGCGUAGAGAUCCGGAGGAACACCAGAGGCGAAGGCGGCGCCCUGGGCUGCACCUGACGCUGAGCCGCGAAAGCUAGGGGAGCGAACGGGAUUAGAAACCCUUGUAGUCC